rnacentral:misc_RNA from 1 species
AACGCAUAUUGCGCCCCCCAGUAUUCUGGCGGGCAUGCCUGUCCGAGCGUCAUCUCAACCCUCGAGCCCCCCGGGCCCGGCGUUGGGGAUCAGCCGUCGUCCCUUGCGGACGGCGGCCGGCCCCGAAACACAGUGGCGGUCACGCCGCGGCGUCCUCUGCGUAGUACGAACCUCGCACCGGACCGCGGUGCGGUCACUCCGUAAACCCCCCGACUAACACGAUGGUUGACCUCGGAUCAGGUAGGAAUACCCGCUGAACUUAA